UCGCUCUAGCGCUGAGCUGUGACUUCCCAUUUGUUUGUUUGUUAGCAGCCCUGUGCUUUAACCCGGUGUGGAUUGCUAAACGCUCGGAUUCGGGGGUUGAGAACGUUAUCGGCUCAGCCUGUCAGCUGUAGCGAGCAGCAGUAGCAGCAUCGGCCUUAUCUCGCCACCGGUAGUGGGAGACGGAAUCACCAGCCAUUCGAUUGGCAGAAGCAUCGACGGUGUUCGUGCUGGCCUUGGGCCUUUCCACAACCUAUGAGUCUGCU